rnacentral:rRNA from 1 species
UUGGUUAUGUGUGCACUUCUUAGAGGGACUGUCGGUUCCUAGCCGAAGGAAGUUCGAGGCAAUAACAGGUCUGUGAUGCCCUUAGAUGUUCUGGGCCGCACGCGCGCUACACUGAUACGUUCAUCGAGCUUACAACCUUGGUCGGGAGGCCUGGGUAAUCUUUUCAAAGCGUAUCGUGCUGGGGAUAGAUUAUUGUAAUUAUUAAUCUUCAACGAGGAAUUCCUAGUAAGCGCGAGUCAUCAACUCGCACUGAUUACGUCCCUGCCCUUUGUACACACCGCCCGUCGCUGCUACCGAUUGAAUGCAUUAGUGAGUCUUGGGGAUCGUUUCUCUUGAGGGUAAAACUUCGGGUUAGAUGAGAACCAAUACAAACUUGCGCAUUUAGAGGAAGCAAAAGUCGUAACAAGGUUUCCGUAGGUGAACCUGCGGAAGGAUCAUUACAACGUAUCCACGUAUAAACCUUUGUGAACAUGUUUAACCGCAUGGUUGUAGCGUCGCAAAGCAAUUAAUAAUUCGGAAAUAAAAUUAAUUGCCCGCUUCUCUCUCGCAGAGAAGGGAUGCUGUGACAAUGUUUUUCCGUUACAUAUUAACCACUGUAACUUUCUAUGUNCUUACGAAUUAAAGCGAAAGCUUUUCUUCGAUAAA